UACGUAGGGUGCAAGCGUUAAUCGGAAUUACUGGGCGUAAAGCGUGCGCAGGCGGUUUUGUAAGUCUGUCGUGAAAUCCCCGGGCUCAACCUGGGAAUUGCGAUGGAGACUGCAAGGCUAGAAUCUGGCAGAGGGGGGGUAGAAUUCCACGUGUAGCAGUGAAAAUGCGUAGAGAUGUGGAGGAACACCGAUGGCGAAGGCAGCCCCCCUGGGUCAAGAUUGACGCUCAUGCACGAAAGCGUGGGGAGCAAACAGG
rnacentral:rRNA from 1 species